rnacentral:rRNA from 1 species
GACGAACGCUGGCGGCGUGCUUAACACAUGCAAGUCGAACGGAAAGGCCCUGCUUUUGUGGGGUGCUCGAGUGGCGAACGGGUGAGUAACACGUGAGUAACCUGCCCUUGACUUUGGGAUAACUUCAGGAAACUGGGGCUAAUACCGGAUAGGAGCUCCUGCUGCAUGGUGGGGGUUGGAAAGUUUCGGCGGUUGGGGAUGGACUCGCGGCUUAUCAGCUUGUUGGUGGGGUAGUGGCGUACCAAGGCUUUGACGGGUAGCCGGCCUGAGAGGGUGGCCGGCCACAUUGGGACUGCGAUACGGCCCAGACUCCUACGUGAGGCAGCAGUGGGGAAUAUUGCGCAAUGGGCGGAAGCCUGAUGCAGCAACGCCGCGUGCGGGAUGACGGCCUUCGGGUUGUAAACCGCUUUCGCCUGUGACGAAGCGUGAGUGACGGUAAUGGGUAAAGAAGCACCGGCUAACUACGUG